CUGGCUGCAGGACAGGAUUUCAGGUAUCAGAAACUGGUGUGUGAGCCAAGCAAAUAGUUAUCCAUUUAUAAAAAGGAUGGUUUGCAGUGUGUUAUAAUAAUUUUAUAUCUAGCAGGGACAAUGAAAAAUGGUUAUGUCUACAUUAUUAAAUGAAUGAAACUAAUGCUAAACAGUUAAUUUUGCAUUUUUAUUUUUCUGUGUUUCUACCAAGUCAGAUCUUAAAAAUGGGCAGUAUAUGAAGAGCUUUAGUUUGUGGGAGUCAUGUUUUCAGUGAUCAAAAAUCUCUAUAUUAUUUAGAAUAUAAUUGUCAGUCUUGUUGUGUUUUGUAGAUUUAUUGUUUUUAAGCCAUAGUUUCUAGAUUACCUACUUUUAACCCUCAAGUAAACUUUUCCCUAUUUUUCAGAAAUCUGUUUGUGUUUAUUUUUAGAAAGUAAACAUUUAGAUUCCUUUUCUGGUACUUUUUUUCUCCAUUUCUAUCACACAGAUUUGAAGAGAUCAGUAUCUAUCAUUGUAAAAUAUAACUUUAUUAAAAUUUGCAAUCUGUCUUUCUAUAAAUUAUUAUUCCCUAAAUGUGUAUUUUAUGUUAAUUUAACUACCUGAAUAUUUAUUUUGUUUAAAUAAGGAGGCAGCUGUCUAAGAAUUUUUGUUAAUAUUACUUUGUAAAUUGCGUAAUGUAAUUUAUUUUACAUUAUGUACAUUUCCUUUUUAACGCACAAAAUGUCUAUGUACAAUUAACUACAGAUUUGCAAAUAAUGUCACUAAGCUUUAUUCAGUCAAUACAGAUGGCAUGUGAAGAUGUAAUAUGCUUUUUUACAUUUUCAUAUGGGUUAUUUGUAAAUAACUAUAUUGCUGACAAACAUAAAUACGGAAAUCAUUUUCAUUCUAA
rnacentral:lncRNA from 1 species